AAUAAAAAAAUUUCGGAACCCUUGCUAUGAGUGAAAUGGUGGGAAUCCUUGUUUGAAUUUUUUGAGUAUCCUCCUUCCUUGGAUUAGUACUGUGACACAUAUAUCGGAAGUUCAGUUUGAAAUUUGAAUGAGAUAUAUCUUUUCCUUUUUUUUUCUUUUCCAUAUUCCAAAAUUUUAGUAAUCCCUUUAUAUUCGAAGCAGGAGUAGCUUGUUAAGAAGAGCAAGUGCUAUUGUUUUGCUAAUAGAUAGAGAGUGUACACUCCAUUCAUCAUUUAAAGCAGCGGGAUAGUUCGGGCUUCUACUUAGAGCAUGGACCUACAUCCUUGCUUGGAUCUACUGGGCUUAAAAGACUUUCAGAGCAUUUGCAGUUAUAGCCUUAUAGGUGCUGGAGUCCUUGGGCUCUGUAACUUUGCAAACAUUGCUUAUACUGGAUAGGAUGCAUCAAGGUCACCAAGAGCGUGGAUACUGCCACUGAAAGUUGCUAAUUUCUGUUGUGAUCUUGUUGAAAUGGCAUAUACAUUGGGGAAUUGAAGAAGAAACUAAGGCCAUGGUGGCAGAAAUUGAGGGUGAUGCUAAUGAUGAAAGUUAGAUGUUCACUCAACCCAGAAAACUGAGUGAUCGAGUUCCACAGCCUUCUGCUAAUGAAGCUACUGCCGGCUUUGAUAAUGGAUGUCUUAUGACUUAGGUACAUGUAAGAUAUGACACCGAAGACUAAAUGAUUUAAACCUACUAAUUUCUUUUGCUAUAUGGAGAAAGGAUCAUCUCUGCUAUAGUAACAUUACAUGGAAUAGUAACUGAUUCUCUCGCAUAAGCAAUGCUGUAAGAAGAAAGAAAAGGCGAUGCAAAUUAAGACCACACAAGGAGCCAGAGUGAUCACUCUUCAUGUGGUAGUAUGUGCUCAAGAACCUGACUCUGGUGCGCUCAGUUACUGCAGUGAACCGAAGCUUGGCCCGUUUGAAUCCUCCUUUACCUGCAGAUUCAUAGGGGACUCGCAAAGUAAUAUUUCCAGCAAAUGCCUCUAUAAGCAUAGACCCUUGGCAGGAAUUGCUCGCAUCUCCAACUGAGAACAUAAGGUCAUACACUUUUCCCUUCUGAGUCCUCACUAUUUGUGCUAUUGCGCUUUCUCUUCCAGCCACAAGCUCGAUGGCGCGCUUACCCUCUGGCACGGUGAAGUGUUCAGCAUCAAUGUAUUUUACUGCCUUGAGAGAUUCGAUCAUCCAUCCAGGCAAAGGUGAGUGAUCAUCCUCAAUGUUUGGAGGAAUUAGAACACCCCAGCUUGUGUUGGGGAAGAUAUAUGGACCCUCUUCAAAGUUUCCAUUCUUCAACAUGUUGCCUGCUUUCAUUUU